rnacentral:misc_RNA from 1 species
GAAAUGCGAUAAGUAGUGUGAAUUGCAGAAUUCAGUGAAUCAUCGAAUCUUUGAACGCACAUUGUGCCCCUCGGCAUUCCGUGGGGCAUGCCUGUUCGAGCGUCAUCUACACCCUCAAGCUCUGCUUGGUGUUGGGCGUCUGUCCCGCCUCCGCGCGCGGACUCGCCCCAAAUGCAUUGGCAGCGGUUCCUUGCCCCCCUCUUUGCGCAGCACAUUGCCAUUCGAGGCGGCGGCGGCCCGCGUCCAACAAGCUCAACCCCCCCGUCUUUGACCUCGGAUCAGGUAGGGAUACCCGCUGAACUUAAGC